rnacentral:rRNA from 1 species
UACGUAGGGUGCGAGCGUUAAUCGGAAUUACUGGGCGUAAAGCGUGCGCAGGUGGCUGUCCAAGCCAGAUGUGAAAUCCCCGGGCUCAACCUGGGAAUGGCAUUUGGGACUGGGCGGCUAGAGUGCGGCAGAGGGAGCUGGAAUUCCUGGUGUAGCAGUGAAAUGCGUAGAGAUCAGGAGGAACACCGAUGGCGAAGGCAGGCUCCUGGGCUAGCACUGACACUCAUGCACGAAAGCGUGGGGAGCAAACAGG